UACCAAGGAAUUAAGUCAUAUAUAUGUGGUGAAAAGACAGUUAAAUGUAUGAAUUUAUUUUGGUUAUUUGAUGCUUUAUGUAGGAGUAAAAUCCAGGUGUAAUUGUAUAAUUUAUAAAUAGCUUUUAAAUUGAAUCUGUGAAAUCCUUAAGGGAAACUGGGAUUAGGUACCCCAUUAUUUCUGGAUGUAAAUUGAUGUAAUUUUACCAGAGUACUAUGAAUAUUUAAAGAUUUAAAACUCAAAGAACUUGGCGGUGUUUUAGACCACUCAGGGGAACCUGUCUCGUAAUCGACAAUCCACGUUGUACCUGACCUUUUUUUGUUUUCAGUUUGUAUACCGUUGUCGUCAGGUAACUUUUUAGAAAUUAGAAGUUAGCAGUAAAAAUAUUGAUGAUUUAGUACGUCAAAUCAAGGUGCAGCUAAUAAAAAGGGGAGGAUGGGUUACAAUUAUAUGAUUUAUAAUAACGGAUAAACAUACGAAUGUAUGUUAAAUUAUAAGGCGGACUUGAAAGUAAAUUGGAAUAUGUAAGUAAUUUGAAUGAGGCUCUGAAACGUGU
rnacentral:rRNA from 1 species